rnacentral:rRNA from 1 species
GAUGAACGCUGGCGGCGUGCUUAACACAUGCAAGUCGAACGGUGAACGAGGGAGCUUGCUCCCUCUGGAUCAGUGGCGAACGGGUGAGUAACACGUGAGCAAUCUGCCCUGGACUCUGGGAUAAGCGUUGGAAACGACGUCUAAUACCGGAUACGAGGCGUGGGGGCAUCCCCAACGCCUGGAAAGAACUUCGGUCCAGGAUGAGCUCGCGGCCUAUCAGGUAGUUGGUGAGGUAACGGCUCACCAAGCCUACGACGGGUAGCCGGCCUGAGAGGGUGACCGGCCACACUGGGACUGAGACACGGCCCAGACUCCUACGGGAGGCAGCAGUGGGGAAUAUUGCACAAUGGGCGCAAGCCUGAUGCAGCAACGCCGCGUGAGGGAUGACGGCCUUCGGGUUGUAAACCUCUUUUAGUAGGGAAGAAGCGAAAGUGACGGUACCUGCAGAAAAAGCACCGGCUAACUACGUGCCAGCCGCCGCCGUAACAC